UGAGGAAUAUUGGACAAUGGGGGCAACCCUGAUCCAGCCAUGCCGCGUGAGUGAUGAAGGCCUUCGGGUUGUAAAGCUCUUUUGGCGGGGACGAUGAUGACGGUACCCGCAGAAUAAGCCCCGGCUAACUUCGUGCCAGCAGCCGCGGUAAGACGAAGGGGGCAAGCGUUGUUCGGAAUUACUGGGCGUAAAGGGCGCGUAGGCGGUUUGCUUAGUCAGGCGUGAAAGCCCUGGGCUUAACCUGGGAUGUGCGCUUGAUACUGGCAGGCUUGAGUGUGGGAGAGGUUGGUGGAAUUCCCAGUGUAGAGGUGAAAUUCGCAGAUAUUGGGAAGAACACCGGUGGCGAAGGCGGCCAUCUGGACCACAACUGACGCUGAGGCGCGAAAGCGUGGGGAGCAAACA
rnacentral:rRNA from 1 species